GUAUGGAUUAUUUGAUUAUAUCACGAUAAACGAAUAAUUACGCGAUCGAGCAAAAAAGUUGCUCGUAACGAGAAAGAAAAUUUUUUUCGAAAGAAAAAUAAAGUUACCAAUUUUAUCGGAUUGAUUUCUUCGCUUAAAUAACAACCGUUUACUACAAAUCAACAAAUUCCAUCACGAGAGCGUUCCGAACGAGUUUUCGCCGGCCUCCGAAGCCACCGAUCGGUCAGUGCUUCGACGCCUGGAUCCAAGGAUCCUCCUCGGGAAUCCUCCCCGGGAAUCGAAGGAUCAAUCGAAGGCAGGAGGAGGAGGUGGAGGAGGAGGAGGGCGAGGAGGAGAAAGAAAAGGAGGUCGUGAUCGGAUACGAGACCAAUGUGACACGCGGACGAAUUCUUAUGCAACGUUUAAGGUGAACGUGGUGCACGGCCGACCGGCGCACGGGAAGAAGCUGUCGCGGGGGAAUUAUGAAUGAUCCUCGAUGCGAGGAUGGUGAAGAUCCGUCGUACCUCGUGUAUCCGGUUGCUGGAAAUAGCGUGCAAUCUGCGCUGCACGGAAACGCCGACAACUGGACAAAUACGCUUGUUGUUCGCCUCUACAUGCCCUCUACACCAACGUGUUGAGUCGUAACGAAGAGAAAUCUGGGACCGGUUGUACGCGUAAGAGUAUUAUUCCUCCCAAGUGGAAAAAUUGAUUCGAAUUGUAUCUUCAUUCUUCUUCUCUUCUCUCUCUUUCCGUCUCUCCACUUCUUCUCUCUCUUUCUCUCUUUCUUUGAAUCACGUCAUUGUUGUGCACACGUUGUGAACAGAGAGGAGGGGAAUCAGGAUAUUAUCGUGGUCAUGAUGGUCAACGGAUGCGGAAAAGUGAUAAUGGAUGACGGAAUGAGACGAGAAUAAAC